GAUGAACGCUAGCUACAGGCUUAACACAUGCAAGUCGAGGGGAAACGAUAUUGGAAGCUUGCUUCCGAUAGGCGUCGACCGGCGCACGGGUGAGUAACGCGUAUCCAACCUGCCCACCACUUGGGGAUAACCUUGCGAAAGUAAGACUAAUAACCAAUGAUAUCUCUAGAAGACUUCUGAAGGAGAUUAAAGAUUUAUCGGUGAUGGAUGGGGAUGCGUCUGAUUAGCUUGUUGGCGGGGUAGCAGCCCACCAAGGCGACGAUCAGUAGGGGUUCUGAGAGGAAGGUCCCCCACAUUGGAACUGAGACACGGUCCAAACUCCUACGGGAGGCAGCAGUGAGGAAUAUUGGUCAAUGGACGAGAGUCUGAACCAGCCAAGUAGCGUGCAGGAUGACGGCCCUAUGGGUUGUAAACUGCUUUUAUAAGGGAAUAAAGUGAGCCUCGUGAGGCUUUUUGUAUGUACCUUAUGAAUAAGGACCGGCUAAUUCCGUGCCAGCAGCCGCAGUAA
rnacentral:rRNA from 1 species